UACGUAGGGUGCGAGCGUUGUCCGGAAUUAUUGGGCGUAAAGAGCUUGUAGGCGGUUUGUCGCGUCUGCUGUGAAAAUCCGGGGCUCAACCCCGGACUGCAGUGGGUACGGGCAGACUAGAGUGUGGUAGGGGAGACUGGAAGUUCCUGGUGUAGCGGUGAAAUGCGCAGAUAUCAGGAGGAACACCGGUGGCGAAGGCGGGUCUCGUGGGCCGAAUACUGACGCUGGAGGAGCGAAAGCGUGGGGAGCGAACAGG
rnacentral:rRNA from 1 species